UAUACAAUGAGGUGAUGUGGAAGCUUUUGCGCUUCUACGUCCAGUAUUUUCUGGCGGGCUGUUUUUGAGAAGAGAUGGAAGAAAGGAAGCUGCUAACCAUCAUUCUACUCAGCGCUCAUUUAACCACGUUGGAAUGCUGCUUCAAAUGUCUAUCAAGGACAUACAACAUGCGAAAGCCGAACAGCACAGAACCAUGCAACUAUUGUGUGGAAAACUUUCGGUAGUUGACCAGAUGCCUGAUCUCUGUAACAAAAGGCUAAAAUUAUUCUGUUUUGAGUGCGCUCGGUUCGGUGGUCGACAAAAGCACGCUACAGGUUUUUAAAUACUCAUCAGCCCAUAUGGACAUAUAUGACUAAGAAAGGUGGACAUUAUUUGUGUAUAGUGGAUGUAAUGGCAUCUAUUAGCCAAGCUUCCAUGGUCUACAAUCAUCUGUUCUACGAAAAGGGUGUAAAACGGAACGUUACAUUCGUGGGCAUAUUUGAUCAACACAACAAGAAUCGCAUAUCUGUUUCUCCCAGAGGCGGUUCGUACAACAUGACAGAAGAAAUCGUGUAUUUCAAUGAGAAACACCACUGUGCUGUGAUUAAGUUCUCCAUGCGUCUUACCGGUGGGCUACACAUGUUUGAUUUGCGAGUUUGGAACUCAACCACGAUAAUCGACAAUGUUCGCCCCUGUCUUCGAAAAUACACAAAGCUGGAACCCAGCGGACAUUGUAUUUACGAAAACUUCUGCAAGGGCCUAUUUCAUACGAGUUCAAGAUCACCACAGCUGAUUCAGCAAAGUCCACAAAGCCCACGACAAAAGUUAUAGAAUAUGGGAAGCAAAAUAUAAGUUUGCUCAACGAAGCACGUUGCGGGGCUGGCUGGUGAUGGGUUAUUUUUCUUUCGUAGAAACUAAUCCAGUUCUACUUUUUAGGAGAAGACAAAAUUUAACUCUCGUGUUUUCGGUACAUAAAAUUUAAGUGUGGAUACGUUGUGCUGCGUACUUUUUGGUCUGUAAUCUACGAGUUGCAAACGAAAGGGCGUCUUAAAAACAAAUAAAAGAUUGACACCAAUA